rnacentral:rRNA from 1 species
CCGGGAUGUUCAUAACCCUUUGUUGUCCGACUCUGUUGCCUCCGGGGCGACCCUGCCUUCGGGCGGGGGCUCCGGGUGGACACUUCAAACUCUUGCGUAACUUUGCAGUCUGAGUAAACUUAAUUAAUAAAUUAAAACUUUUAACAACGGAUCUCUUGGUUCUGGCAUCGAUGAAGAACGCAGCGAAAUGCGAUAAGUAAUGUGAAUUGCAGAAUUCAGUGAAUCAUCGAAUCUUUGAACGCACAUUGCGCCCCCUGGUAUUCCGGGGGGCAUGCCUGUUCGAGCGUCAUUUCACCACUCAAGCCUCGCUUGGUAUUGGGCAACGCGGUCCGCCGCGUGCCUCAAAUCGACCGGCUGGGUCUUCUGUCCCCUAAGCGUUGUGGAAACUAUUCGCUAAAGGGUGUUCGGGAGGCUACGCCGUAAAACAACCCCAUUUCUAAGGUUGACCUCGGAUCAGGUAGGGAUACCCGCUGAACUUAAGCAUAUCAAUAAGCGGAGGAAAAGAAACCAACAGGGAUUGCUCUAGUAACGGCGAGUGAAGCAGCAAUAGCUCAAAUUUGAAAUCUGGCGUCUUCGACGUCCGAGUUGUAAUUUGUAGAGGAUGCUUCUGAGUAACCACCGACCUAAGUUCCUUGGAACAGGACGUCAUAGAGGGUGAGAAUCCCGUAUGCGGUCGGAAAGGUGCUCUAUACGUAGCUCCUUCGACGAGUCGAGUUGUUUGGGAAUGCAGCUCUAAAUGGGAGGUAAAUUUCUUCUAAAGCUAAAUAUUGGCCAGAGACCGAUAGCGCACAAGUAGAGUGAUCGAAAGAUGAAAAGCACUUUGGAAAGAGAGUUAAAAAGCACGUGAAAUUGUUAAAAGGGAAGGGAUUGCAACCAGACUUGCUCGCGGUGUUCCGCCGGUCUUCUGACCGGUYUACUCGCCGCGUUGCAGGCCAGCAUCGUCUGGUGCCGCUGGAUAAGACUUGAGGAAUGUAGCUCCCUCGGGAGUGUUGUAGCCUCUUGUGAUGCAGCGAGCGCCGGGCGA